rnacentral:lncRNA from 1 species
UUGCUUCUGCGGUUUGCUUCGAAUUUCUCAGACGGCAUGUUACACUGCACCGUUAACAAACUCAACUCAAAUCCAUUUUUUUUUUUCCUUUUUAAACAUGGUCUUGUUAACGAGUACUUAAAGACACUUUUUAUAUCCUACGAUCAAAAAUGGGACGUUACAUUAACGUUAGAAAAUAAUGUUAAAGUAUUAGUUCUUGAUCGUAGGACAUAAAAACAAAUAAAACAUUUGUACCAAAAAAAUAAAUAAAUAAAAACAUAAGUAUGUAAAAUAUGCAUCAUAUAUAUAUAUAUAUAUAUAUAUAUAUAUAUAUAUAUAUAUAUAUAUAUGGGGACAUAUCACAUGAAAAUGGUAUUUAUAUACGAGAAUAGUGAGAAUAAAUUAUAGCCAUUAGAUUAAAACUAAGGGAUGGGAUUAAAACACAAUUAAGUGAGUGGCAAUCAUGUGAAAACUCUCACUCCUUUCACGCUUCUUCUGCAUUCCGUCUCUUUCAAAUCUUCCUUACCCUUCACCAUCUCUUCAACUCUUUUAUUUUCCAUUUUCCUGAUUCAAUUUACAUCAACAUCUUAGCCCUUCUUCAACAUAAUCAUCGAUCCAACUCAAUGAUUAAUCAUCCGAUUUCGAAAAUACUCAAUUUCAGGGGGUUUCCAAUUUAAUUUCAGAUACAUAUUCAUGCUAAAUAUCAAUUUCAGCAAUUUCUUUUUUAUGGGUUUCAGGAACAAAAUUGGUUAUCAAAUUGGGGAAAAUUAGGGGUGUCAACAGCUUCUUUUCUUUCUCCUUCUAAAGAUUUGAGUUUAUCAAAUUUGUUCAAUUUGAUUGUUUUGAUGCUAAAAAC